ACCACUAUUAGCGAUGGAUUUUUUAGUCAUCGCUAAUAACAACUAUUAGUGAUGGCAUUUGUAAUGGUUAAAUUUUAUUGCUAUUUAUUUUUUUUAUUUUUAAAUAAAAUUUUUAAAAAAAUAAAUAAAAUUAAUGAUGGCAAUUUUAUCCCUAAUGCCGUCGCUAAUAACUAUGAGCGAUGGCUAAAGCUAUCGCUAAU
rnacentral:lncRNA from 1 species